GCGGCGGAGGCGGUGGGCCGUCCCGGGCCGCCCCUGGUGCUGCUCGGGACGGGGCCGGAGCCGGGGGCGGGCCGGUGGGGGCGCUGCGCACCGGGAACGGCCCCCGCGAGCGCUCGGCAGAGGUGUGUUGCGCGGUGGCCUUUCGGGCCCCGCCUCCGAUCCGGCCCGACCCGAGCCUCGGAAAAGCGCGAUUGGGGGGCGCCGAGGGCGGCCACAUCUCGAGGAGUGCGGGGGUGGCCGGUCAGAGCAUAGAAUUUCAAAUUCUAGCUGGCCACAUGUCUUCCCAGAAUAAAAGCAAGUUUCUCGGACUUCCUUGCAGCUAGGGAUGGUUACAUGGCUCAUUUCCAGCCAACAGGAGCUUCCCACCACAGGAGAAUGAAAGACCAAGAAAAACUUGCUGGACACCAGGAGUUGGACCGCACAAGGCAUUGAGACUGUCCUGAGGGCACCUGAUUGCACCCUGCCUUCCGCCCACAUUACAAGCCCAAGGACUCGGCCCCGAAUCCACUCACAACAAGAGCUUCCCGCUAGAGACUGCAUACAAGGAUGAAACUCCAGCUCCUGGCUGCUGCCAGCAUCGACCCAAUGUCCUCUUCCCUUUGGGUAUCCUCUCCCCCAUCCUCUCCCCUUAAAUACAUUUAGCCGCCUGCACAUGCCAACCACCAUGUUAACCUUUCAG